AGACCCGAAACCCGGUGAUCUAGCCAUGGGCAGGUUGAAGGUUGGGUAACACUAACUGGAGGACCGAACCGACUAAUGUUGAAAAAUUAGCGGAUGACCUGUGGCUGGGGGUGAAAGGCCAAUCAAACCGGGAGAUAGCUGGUUCUCCCCGAAAGCUAUUUAGGUAGCGCCUCGUGAAUUCAUCUCCGGGGGUAGAGCACUGUUUCGGCUAGGGGGCCAUCCCGGCUUACCAACCCGAUGCAAACUGCGAAUACCGGAGAAUGUUAUCACGGGAGACACACGGCGGGUGCUAACGUCCGUCGUGAAGAGGGAAACAACCCAGACCGCCAGCUAAGGUCCCAAAGUCAUGGUUAAGUGGGAAACGAUGUGGGAAGGCCCAGACAGCCAGGAUGUUGGCUUAGAAGCAGCCAUCAUUUAAAGAAAGCGUAAUAGCUCACUGGUCGAGUCGGCCUGCGCGGAAGAUGUAACGGGGCUAAACCAUGCACCGAAGCUGCGGCAGCGACACUGUGUGUUGUUGGGUAGGGGAGCGUUCUGUAAGCCGUUGAAGGUGGCCUGUGAGGGUUGCUGGAGGUAUCAGAAGUGCGAAUGCUGACAUAAGUAACGAUAAAGCGGGUGAAAAGCCCGCUCGCCGGAAGACCAAGGGUUCCUGUCCAACGUUAAUCGGGGCAGGGUGAGUCGACCCCUAAGGCGAGGCCGAAAGGCGUAGUCGAUGGGAAACGGGUUAAUAUUCCCGUACUUGGUGUUACUGCGAAGGGGGGACGGAGAAGGCUAUGUUGGCCGGGCGACGGUUGUCCCGGUUUAAGCGUGUAGGCUGGUUUUCCAGGCAAAUCCGGAAAAUCAAGGCUGAGGCGUGACGACGAGGCACUACGGUGCUGAAGCAACAAAUGCCCUGCUUCCAGGAAAAGCCUCUAAGCAUCAGGUAACAUCAAAUCGUACCCCAAACCGACACAGGUGGUCAGGUAGAGAAUACCAAGGCGCUUGAGAGAACCCGGGUGAAGGAACUAGGCAAAAUGGUGCCGUAACUUCGGGAGAAGGCACGCUGACACGUAGGUGAAGUGAUUUACUCAUGGAGCUGAAGUCAGUCGAAGAUACCAGCUGGCUGCAACUGUUUAUUAAAAACACAGCACUGUGCAAACACGAAAGUGGACGUAUACGGUGUGACGCCUGCCCGGUGCCGGAAGGUUAAUUGAUGGGGUCAGCGCAAGCGAAGCUCCUGAUCGAAGCCCCGGUAAACGGCGGCCGUAACUAUAACGGUCCUAAGGUAGCGAAAUUCCUUGUCGGGUAAGUUCCGACCUGCACGAAUGGCGUAAUGAUGGCCAGGCUGUCUCCACCCGGGACUCAGUGAAAUUGAACUCGCUGUGAAGAUGCAGUGUACCCGCGGCAAGACGGAAAGACCCCGUGAACCUUUACUAUAGCUUGACACUGAACAUUGAGCCUUGAUGUGUAGGAUAGGUGGGAGGCUUUGAAGCGUGGACGCCAGUCUGCGUGGAGCCGACCUUGAAAUACCACCCUUUAAUGUUUGAUGUUCUAACGUGGACCCGUGAUCCGGGUUGCGGACAGUGUCUGGUGGGUAGUUUGACUGGGGCGGUCUCCUCCUAAAGAGUAACGGAGGAGCACGAAGGUUGGCUAAUCCUGGUCGGACAUCAGGAGGUUAGUGCAAUGGCAUAAGCCAGCUUGACUGCGAGCGUGACGGCGCGAGCAGGUGCGAAAGCAGGUCAUAGUGAUCCGGUGGUUCUGAAUGGAAGGGCCAUCGCUCAACGGAUAAAAGGUACUCCGGGGAUAACAGGCUGAUACCGCCCAAGAGUUCAUAUCGACGGCGGUGUUUGGCACCUCGAUGUCGGCUCAUCACAUCCUGGGGCUGAAGUAGGUCCCAAGGGUAUGGCUGUUCGCCAUUUAAAGUGGUACGCGAGCUGGGUUUAGAACGUCGUGAGACAGUUCGGUCCCUAUCUGCCGUGGGCGCUGGAGAACUGAGGGGGGCUGCUCCUAGUACGAGAGGACCGGAGUGGACGCAUCACUGGUGUUCGGGUUGUCAUGCCAAUGGCACUGCCCGGUAGCUAAAUGCGGAAGAGAUAAGUGCUGAAAGCAUCUAAGCACGAAACUUGCCCC
rnacentral:rRNA from 1 species